AUCACCGAAGUUAAGCAUCAUUGGGCGCGGUCAGUACUUGGGUGGGUGACCACCUGGGAACACUGCGUGCCGUU
rnacentral:rRNA from 1 species